GCUGUUCCUCCGACUUCCAGAAACCCCAGGCUCCUCCCUCUGUCAUCCAAGAAACUGGUCCAGUCGGAGCCGAAAUGGCCCGUGUGCAGGAGUUCCUCUGGAGCAGGUGCAGGGACGCAGGUGCAUUUUCCUCAGGUGUGGGAAGACCAGCCCUGAGAUGUGUUGGUGAUGCCCCCUAGAGGUGUUGAAGGGAAUCAAAUACCUCCCACUGCUCCAUUUUGAGCAUCAUCUCCUGAAGGCCAAUACACGAGGAAAGACUGCAAUAAAUGAAUGUGAAGUUCUGA